AACGAACGCUGGCGGCAUGCCUAACACAUGCAAGUCGAACGGGAUCCUAGCUUGCUAGGUGAGAGUGGCGGACGGGUGAGUAACACGUGGGAAUCUGCCUUUUGGUUCGGGAUAACCGCGGGAAACUGCGGCUAAUACCGAAUGCCCUCGAGAGAGGAAAGAUUUAUCGCCAGAAGAGGAGCCCGCGUCCGAUUAGGUAGUUGGUGGGGUAAAGGCCUACCAAGCCGACGAUCGGUAGCUGGUCUGAGAGGAUGAUCAGCCACACUGGGACUGAGAUACGGCCCAGACUCCUACGGGAGGCAGCAGUGGGAAUAUUGGACAAUGGGGCAACCCUGAUCCAGCAAUGCCGCGUGAGUGAUGAAGGCCUUAGGGUUGUAAAGCUCUUUUGCCAGGAAGAUGAUGACUGUACCUGGAGAAUAAGCCCCGGCUAACUCGUGCCAGCAGCCGCGGUAAU
rnacentral:rRNA from 1 species